AGAUGCUUUGCUUAGCUUCUAAGUAUCCUACCCAUGGUUGGCCUAUAUGUACCGCAAACCUGCCUUUGUGGCUGUGUGGUUAAUGAGAAAGUGAUCUAUUGGGCCAAUAGUUUCUUGGUUCAAUCAUUAAAUGUAACGCCUGCAAGAACAUGUUUGCGUCUGUAGUUAGCCACAUUUCUGUGGCUUUUGUUGUCUUGUUUGUUGGUUCAAUGUAACGCUUGCAAGAACACCUUGGAUUCUGAUUUAUGCUUACUCUUUGAUGUUUGGUAUCUGUUGAAAUGUCCCAGUACAUGUCUUCCUGAAGUGUCCAAGCUGCAAGUUUUAUCCAUAAUUGGUCAUGUAUUUGGAACUCUACACCAUACUGUCAACACCAUUUUCUUCUUGAGUAUAGCCUAUUUCUAUUUUAGUGCUAUUUGUACUCUUCAAAUUUCUUCAAACUCAUUGAUGAAGUGCUGUGACGACUACAGAAUUUUUUUUGAGAAAUGAGGCAUGGUAUUGUUUGGACAAACUGGAGUUCUCCAUCUAGGACAAUAAUGGAACACUGUAUUGGCCAUUUUGCUUUCUUUCCCCCCUCCAGGCUGCUCCUUUUGCUUUGGAAUUUGAUGCAUUUUCUUUUACAUUAAUAUUCUUGACUUGUAUAGCAAUGAUGAGGUAUUUGCAUUAAUAUUCUUGACUCGUCUAGCAAUGAUGAGGUAUUUAGUCCUACCGGUCAGUUUGAUGUCUGCAAUGGUGACAUGGUGGUGAAAGAGCAGCACCACUGCAUCCCAAUUCAUGGACCAGUGAUGGAAGAGGGCGAUGAUUUCCGCUUUUAAAGGGAAACGAGGGCAGUUGCAGACAAUGGUACUGUGUGGCGUCUGAAAGGAUGGCAGUGGCAGCAGAAAACUAGCGGUGUGGUGUUGGGUUGGUGGCCUAUUCCCACAGUUGGAUUUGGAGACUGGAGUAUUGUACAAAACUGUUGAGGGAAUCUUAGCCAUAAUUGGGAAAGAAGAUGCCUUAGUUGUCGCAUACUUUCUUCUUUACCACGGCAUGCGACAGGUAACUUGUGUACUCUAUAUGCUGAUUAAUUCAUCAUAUCAACAUUUGUUUA